UCUGCCUACGGGACGCAGCAGUGGGGAAUAUUGCACAAUGGGGGGAACCCUGAUGCAGCGACGCCGCGUGGGUGAAGGAGUACUUCGGUACGUAAAGCCCUAUCAGCAGGAAAGAAAAUGACGGUACCUGACUAAGAAGCCCCGGCUAACUACGUGCCAGCAGCCGCGGUAAUACGUAGGGGGCAAGCGUUAUCCGGAUUUACUGGGUGUAAAGGGAGCGUAGACGGCAGGGCAAGUCCGGAGUGAAAGCCCGGGGCUCAACCCUGGGACUGCUCUGGACACUGUAAAGCUGUAGUACGGGAGCG
rnacentral:rRNA from 1 species